ACUUCGUUAGGUUUGAGUGGAAAUCCUUUUUUGCAUUUGAAAAAAAGAUUGGGAACGGAAGGCGGAAAUGUC
rnacentral:sRNA from 1 species